AUAGCACCUUCUUCCAAACUAUUGCCAACUUACCUUGAGGCCAAAACCAGGCAGGAUGUCCUGUACACGCUGAUAGAAACUGCACACCAUAGCCUUGGCCACUGAUGCAUCUGACUAUUGACAAUUCCACAUUUUAUGUAAGAAAUCUGAGAUGCUCUGUCAGACGCCAACAAGUUCCUCAGUAGAAAAGACAGAAAGUUAGCCACCUUACUUAUCUAUCGCCCUCGUGAUCUGGAGGAUCCAUAAUGACUUCAAGAAUGUAACACAUCCAGUCCUCAAAGAACCCUGGUGGGUGGUCAGGGUCCUAGGAGAACACAGCAGAGGUCUAAGAUGAAUAUUAAAGUGAACAGUAUAUUUAGUCAGCAAAAUCCCUCUGGGCAUAGCUGGCAACCAGACUUCUACACUGAAGUCUACACUUUCUGUCACGAUGACAACUACAGAAAUGUUCACACGAGAAAGUGAAAGGCUCAAAAUGCCUUUGUAAAAACUGUUCAGUUGUGAAUUCUUCAAACCUCCUCCAAAGUCCACAAAUAGUUGAGUGGUGGCUUCCUGGUUCCAGUUUGUCCUUCCUCGCUCUUAUUGAAUAAAUCCAUCAAACGCCCACCCUGCUCUGGGAAAGCAUCCCUGCACAAACAAUAGACCAGGCAGAGUCUUUGUAACACAAACCCAGCCUGCCCAGAAGGGAAAAAGCCAAUUGAAAGACACAAUGCAGGGGGUGAUCUGGCAGGGACAAUAGAGCAUCCCGCUCUUGCCUUGAAUUCCCCUGGUUUUGAUGUCAGUGCCCAGGCCCUGGGCUCCUUCCUCAGUAAAAUGCAUAGAUCUGAAUCUUCGAGAGGUUGGUGGAAAGAGAAAGCAUGACCCUGAGACAACUUCUGGGCCAGCGAGGGGCCAGCUGUCACUGCACAGCUGUGCUCUAUGAGGUUACCCUGUGAGCACAAACCCUUCUAGGACAGCACCCUGGGGACAGCCCUGGCAGAACUAAGACAUGAAGACUCAGAGAAUUUGGCCUGGGUCUUUGAUUUGCAGAACUGGAUAUUGAAUCUUGGGACUCCUGUGUGCCAGCAAGAACUCUGUCAUUAAACUAUCAUAUCCCAGCUCUUUUUUACUUUUUUAUUUUGAGGGAUUGUCUCACUAAAUUGCCCAGGCUGGCUCUAAACUUCCCCUAUAGCCCAGGAAGGUCUUGAACUUUCAUCCUCCUGCUUCAGCCUCCCAAGGCGUAUGGUUACAGGCCUCCCACGUUCAGCAGCCUUACCUGGUUAUUAAGCGGUAGGAAAACCUCCAAAGGAGGUCUGGUGGCAGUAGAAAGCAUCUUGCAGUUUUGGAAGUUUGUGUAUUUUUUCCCAAGUGAUUGCAAUAGUAUGACCUCAUCCAUCUCCCUCUCCCUUACGCUCCACCUAUGUGCUCUCAAAGAAAGACAGCCAUUACUCCAGUGGUGGGCCUGGGGAGUCGGCAGUGAAUCCCACCAGGCUGAGAUGUCAGACCAUCUCCACUACUGCCACUCAACUUGUCUGGAUAGGGUGACCAGAGGCAUGAGGCUAGCCAUGGCCUGCACCACAUCUACAGCUUCCUGGGAUUCAGGAUCUACCUGAGGCAGACUAUGCUAAUUGACCCAGAGAGCCAGGUCCCUCCCCCUUCUCACUCCUACUUCCAACUACAGAGGCUACAGCUUAAUGGUUCCUUUCUUGAGGCUAGGUGAUGACAGGUGAACCCUUAUUCUGCCUAUGAAAUGGGAUCAGAAGUCUCCCAAAGGCUUUCCUGAGAGAACAAGACGAUCUUAGCUGCCACACCCCUUCUGUUUCUACCCUCAGUUUCUGUCUUGACUGUGCCCUGGGUGCACAACUCUCUUACAAAGGGGGAAAUGUGACUUGGGGCUCACUGACUUCAUAGCCCCUGCUCCCAACUCUGACUUUCCACACAGACAACAAUCAACAGAAAGAAAUGUGAGGCAGUACAUAAUAGAGACCAGAGCACUGGGCUCAGCUGCUCUUGCUGCAUUCUAGUGGUCCAGCCUGGCCUCAGCUCAUCAAUCCCCUCGAGUCUUCUUCUCAUUUGUGAUCACGACUUGGGUAAAGGCUCUGAGGCACCCUCCAGUGUUCCAGUUCUAUACUUAGGAAUCUAGAAUUUGAACAUUCUCUAACUGGUUGCUAAGCCACUCUAUGCCCAAAGCAAAGCUUCAUCUAACAGACCAGGACCCUAUGGAAACAGCCAUCGAGUGACCCAAGGACGUCACCAUUCUCCCCGCUGCUGUAUAGCACUGUCCUGACACACCAUGAACCCAAGUCCCUGUAUCUUCUCAAGACAUAACAAGACUCAUUGUACACAGUGAAGAGACUCCAUAGAAGGUUCAAACCUGGGCCUGGUUGUUUCCCGUAGCUUCAGAUGGGGGAACUGCCAGGCAAGUGUAAGAUGGUGGGAUCACAGUGGAUCUAGGCCUGCAUGAAGUACUGGGAACAAAAUGUCUCCACUCCCUCCUGAGAUCUCUCCCACUACUGCAGCAGAGGAAAAGAGCAGAAAGGAUUGUCUCGGACAUGCCACCUGGAAGACUCUUUGUCUGUCCUCCCCGGUCCAAUGUCCUAUAUUGAUGGAAAAGUGAUUAAGCCUUCAAUACCACAUUCCAAAUUAUUAGAGACUGGAAGAAAAAUACCCAGGAGAAACUACUCUGUGCAUUGGUAUUUACCUGGUAUAGAGUGCACUUGGGGUUUAGAGUAGAAGGGUGAAGAGAGAACCAUGAAGGGAGAGUUAGGAGAGAAGAAAUGCUAAAACAGCAAGCCACAGCUCUGGGCCACAUCCAGCUAUACCAGGCAAAGCCAGACCUAAGCCCUUUACUCCAGCUUGUUGAAAGGAGAGCAGGGUGGUUUUCUAGUUCAGUUUUCUGGAUUGGCACUCCUGUUAAUCAAGCAUGGGUUCCUCCUCACACUGCCCUCAGGAGUCAGAGCUAGGCAAGGUUCACAGUCCUCGGAUAAUUCACCCAAAAGACCCUUGACCACGGGAAGAUGCCUGCCACCACCCCUUCCAGGCAAGUUUCUUGUCUACAGAUACAGCCAAGAUAACUUGCUACACAUUGGCCAAGGACAACAUGACCCAAGUGGGUAGUUUGUGAACUCCAGGACUUGUUUGUACAAGAAAGAUGAAAAAUAGAGGGUGUGGGGGAAGGUGUAUUACAUUUCCUCUGCUCUUUGGGAAAAUGCAUUGGUUUCCUAUGUUCUCACUACCUGAAAUGCCCCUUGGCCUGCUCCAGUAGAGCGAAUCUCACCACUCUUGAAGGAUGUCCAACCGAUGCCUGGUGACAAAAUUCAUGCUGUUCAGAGGUGUAAACCAUGAAUGGAUAACUGUUGUGAAAGUGUGACAGGUGACACAGAAAGAGAAACUUCCUUUGAUGUUUGGUAUGUGUGGCAUGUGGGAAAGAGGCCAUGUAAGGAUGGAGAGAGUCCAGGAUGAUGUAACCCCAAGCCCAGUUGCCCUGACUGGUUUUAUGUCAACUUGGCAAGUUAAAGUCACCUGGAAGGAGGAACCUCAAUUAAUUAAAAUGCUUCUAUAAGAUCAGGCUGUAUUCAGACAAACCUAUAGGACAUUUUCUUAAUUCGUGAUUGACGGGGAGGGCCUAGUCCAUUAUGGGUGGGAGAAUUCAGUGCUGAUAAUCCUAGGUUCUAUAAGAAAGCAGGUUGAGCAAACCAUGGGGACCAAGCCAAUAAGCAACACCCCUCCAAGGCUUCUGCAUCAGCUCCUACUUCCAGUUUCCUGCCCUGCUUGAGUUCCUGUCCACAGUGAUGAAAUAUAAGCUAAAUAAACCCUUUCUUCCCCA
rnacentral:lncRNA from 1 species